CCUACGGGCGGCAGCAGUGAGGAAUAUUGGUCAAUGGACGAGAGUCUGAACCAGCCAAGUAGCGUGAAGGAUGACUGCCCUAUGGGUUGUAAACUUCUUUUAUAUGGGAAUAAAAUGUUCCACGUGUGGGAUUUUGUAUGUACCAUAUGAAUAAGGAUCGGCUAACUCCGUGCCAGCAGCCGCUGUAAUACGGAGGAUCCGAGCGUUAUCCGGAUUUAUUGGGUUUAAAGGGAGCGUAGGUGGAUUGUUAAGUCAGUUGUGAAAGUUUGCGGCUCAACCGUAAAAUUGCAGUUGAAACUGGCAGUCUUGAGUACAGUAGAGGUGGGCGGAAUUCGUGGUGGAGCGGUGAAAUGCUUAGAUAUCACGAAGAACUCCGAUUGCGAAGGCAGUUCACUGGACUGCAACUGACACUGAGGCUCGAAAGUGUGGGUAUCAAACAGGAUUAGAUACCCGAGUAGUC
rnacentral:rRNA from 1 species